rnacentral:lncRNA from 1 species
GCGCCCAAGCCAACCAUGCAGCCAAUCCCGAGCGCCCACCUCAAUGCAACACAUGGCCAAGAGAGAACCAAGUUUAGUCAGCCCCUUGCGGCCGAAUUAGAAGUCUUUUGUCAUUUGAAUUAAGUCCAAAAUAAGCCAAGACAAUCGGCCUAUAAGAGGAGCCAUUAGGGCCCUUAGGCAAUCAUCUUCUAGCUUUUGAAUUUCCAGCAAAGUGUCAACGGUUGUAUCCCUUUUGUUUGUCGGCCGAAAGGCUUGGGCUAAGGAGGAGAACAUCACUCCCCUUAGAUUGUUUAGGCGUCGCAAGGUUCCUUCCGGAUCUUGCUAAGAGUCCUUGUAAUUCGUUGCUAAUUGGAAUAGAGUCAAGUUCUUUUCAUCAUUGAGCCCCGAACCAUCUUGAUUCAUUCCCACCGCCGGCAGCCAAAGGCAAUAGCACACGGCGUGGUUCCAAGGCAGCAAGAAGGAAGAGCGAUACCCACAAGCAAGUCGG